rnacentral:rRNA from 1 species
AAUUCGGAACGGAUAAACGCUGAAGGCAUCUAAGCGUGAAGCCGCCCUCAAGAUGAGAUUUCCCAUUCAGAGAUGAAGUAAGGCCCCUUGGAGAACACAAGGUUGAUAGGCGGGAGGUGUAAGCGCCGGGAGGCGUUAAGCUGACCCGUACUAAUAGGCCGAGGGCUUGACCUU